UUCAGGGGCCCCCAGCCUGGAAUUGAAUGGGCGGGGGGGUGGCGCGAACCGAGGGCCGGAUGUCUGCGCCCUGGCCUGCGCCCCGAUCUGUACAUGAGAGCAGGUGUGCGGUGUCCGCCCUGCGCCAGAAGCCCGGGGACAUCCUUCUCCUGUCUCCCUCCCUCCCUGCCUCUCCAUCUCUGACAUGUUUCGGUUCUGAUCGGCCUUCAUCCGUACAUUUAUUAACAAGUGUUUAUUGAGGCUCUGCUGCAUCCACGUUGGUCCCUCUCUUUCCUCCCUGUCCCUGUCCCUGAGGGUGCCUUGCGCCCCCUCCUUGCCGCUGGUAACCUCCCUCGCGUCUCAGUCUCAGUCUCUGCCGUGUGGGGGCCCCUCUGGCCCAGCCUCCGUGUCGCUCCCGUUCUCCGGGCCUCUGGGUUUUCACUCUCCCCUCUUUCUCUUUCUCGGUUUCAGGCCCCCCUCUGUCUCUGUGCCUCACUCCCGUUCCCGGGUUUCUCAGCGGACCCAGUCUCUGUUCCUCUCCCCCCGUGGUGGGCGUCUCGCUCGGCUUCCAUGCGUCGCUUUCGUCGGGGCUCUCGCGCUUCUCCGCCGCUGCAGAUCAAUAAACCUUCGCCGCCGCCGCCGCUGUCGCAGGGAGGAGGGGCAGGGAUGCGUGGCGCGCGCGAAUCCUCUCCCCUCCACGCCGGCCCUGAAGCUCGGGUCCUG